rnacentral:rRNA from 1 species
UACGAAGGGGGCAAGCGUUGUUCGGAUUUACUGGGCGUAAAGGGCGCGCAGGCGGUUUUUCAAGUCGGGUGUGAAAGCCCGGGGCUCAACCCCGGAGGGUCUUCCGAAACUGCCGAGCUAGAGUGCGGAAGAGGCAACCGGAAUUCCCAGUGUAGCGGUGAAAUGCGUAGAUAUUGGGAAGAACACCAGAGGCGAAGGCGGGUUGCUGGGCCGACACUGACGCUGAGGCGCGAAAGCCAGGGGAGCAAACGGG